GGGCCCGUAGCUCAAUGGUCAGAGCAGGCGACUCAUAAUCGCUCGGUCGUGGGUUCGAUUCCCACCGGGCCCACCA
rnacentral:tRNA from 2 species